CAGGUUACUGUAAGAUUCUUAUGUUUGUUGUCCAAUUGAAUUGUUCACAUUAUAGGUCACAUUAAAAGUGGAAAUCAUUCUGACAUGAUUUAUCUUUGUCUAAUUUUUUUU